GAAAUCAGGGACUCUCCAUUUAAAAACCACCACCCGCCCCCUGGAGACCAGGCUUCUGAUUAUAAAGUUAUGUAGAUUCCCAAGUGCCUGUGGAUGAGCAGCCAGAUGCGCCCUCUGUGGAACUGUCCCAAGUGCUGAAAUAAUAUCUGUCUGGCUCAGGCCAGGGUUGGGUUCCCUGUUCCUUCACUUGAGAACUCUGCCCCAGUGCCAGCACAUUUGUUUUGUUUUGGUUAGGGGGUUUUUUUGUUUUGUUUUUUUGCCAAUGACAGAUGCCCGUCUGCUCAGCUGGCUGGGAUUUUUUGGGAAAAUGCUUAGGCCAAGAACAGAUCAUAACAGUUGUCUGUGAAAAUAACCCCCAGGCUAUGACCAUGAACGCUUUGGUGCUAGGUUCCAGACUGGCCACACCAGAGGGCUAAUGGCUGUGGACCCACCCACCCCCUCCAGGACCAGGCUUCAAGCCAAGCUCUCUGGGUUCCAGCCCAUGCUCACCAUUUGCUAGUUAUGGGAAUUGGGCAGCUACCUCCCCCUUUCUGGGCCCCCAAUUUCCCGUCUGUGCAAUAUAAUCUCUAAGAGCCCAGCUAGCUCUGACAUUCUGGGGACUCCACAAUUAUGUGGCUCAGGAGGAGAAAGAGCCCUCAGCCAGGAGUCAGCAGUCUCAUUUCCUAGUCCUGCACCAUAAGCUAUGGCCCCCUAGACCAGACCCUUGAUCUCUCUGAACCUCAUCUAUAAAACCAGAAUGACACUCCUGAGCUUCCCAUCGCCUGGUGUCCUGGGGAGACGGGGAAACACUUGUAAGGAAAACUACGCGGUGCUGGGGAUGGUUUAUGACAGGACAGCAUCAAAUAGCUACACCCUUUAGCGGGGAACUCAGGUUCCAGCCCCUGGGGGCAAAUGACACACACUCUUUCCCUUUCUCAUCCACAGUUUCAGCCUGAAGGCCUUGGGGAGUCGGCGUGACAUCAGUCUCCACUGUUUACCAAACAUUCCAAAUGCCAGAUCUAUUCAUUCUUUCAUUCUUGAGACAAUUUAUUCCUGAGAUAAUUCCUGAGACCCUUCUAUGGCUUGAGCAGGAAAUAAGAGGCAGACAGGGCCCCCACCCUCAUGCACUUGUUCGCCUGUGAAGCACUUACCCUUGUGCUGAGUACCUGGGAAGCGCUCGUUAACACAAUGAGACAGGUGAUGCUGGAGGAUGCCCUGGUUACGAGGGAGUAUGCAGGAGGGGAACCCGGGCUCCAGAGGGUGAUAUCAGAGAUAGUCAGUGAGCCAGAAGAAGACUGGAGGGAGAGUAUUCCAGGCAAAGAGGGCAGCAUGAGCCACUGGCUGGGGCAGGGGGCCAGGAUGAAGCAGGACACCUCUCCCCAGGUAAUUCCUGCCUCUCUGCCACCCCGACACCUGCAAACCAGAAUCUGGGGCCCAGUCUUGUGUCUCAGCAGGAAUCAUAGUGGUGGGGCGGGGCGGGAGGGGGGGAGUGGCAGAGGGAGGGUAGGAUAAAUUCCGCUGUACCCCCUCUCCCGUUGGCCAGGGCUUCUGAGCACCAAGGUGGCCCAGGAGACAGAGGGAGGUUAACCCAAGGGGGGCGGGGAUGCUUAACUCCAUCUUGUUAAAAUCUCUUUGGCUUCAUCAUCCUCCUCACUGGCUCCACCAUUAUGAUGUUUGAGCACUUACAUAGGCAGGAGGUUUCCUUCCAACCCCUACCAUCCCUACAUCUAUGAGGAAGGUAUGCUUAGAUUCCUUUUACAGAGUGAGGAAACUGAGGCUCAGACAGCUUGCAGGGUUUACUAAAGGACACACAGCAGCCAGCGACAGGGCUAGAGUUAGAUUAUUGCUGAUCUUCGCUGAGCACCGACCAUGUGCCAGGCACCUACCAUGCAAAUUAGAUACCUUUGCCCACUCCCUCAUCCCGCAGCCCUAUAAGCCAGGCUCUAUUAUUAACCCCACUUUGUGGUUGAAGAAGCUGAGUCCAGUCCCCAGGUGAGGACUCUCGGCCGGGUCUGCCCAACCCCUCCCCGAUCUGGGCACUAUUACACCAUCAGCCCCCUUUCCUUUAACGAGGCCCAGGAGGCAGAGGCAGCCACAUCCUUCCUCCUCCUCUCAGUCCCAGCCUCUGCUCAUUCCAGCUCCACAGCGGCAGCCCCUGGCUGCCCCAGCAUCCCAGGAUGGCAGAGAAGCACACCCAGGGCAGGGGAAGGAGCCACGGCCAGGACGACCUUGGGAUCCCUGUGUUCCAUCAGACAUAAAUAUCCCCCUGCUAAGUGUUCAAGCUCUUCCCGAAAAAGCUACAUCGAGGGGGCUUCCAGGUCUCAGGCUGGAAAGCGCCGCUGGGCAGAUUUAUUCCUCCGAGAGGUCAGACAGCCACUGUAUUUCACCAUCGGGCCAAAAGGGGCUCUCAUUCUCCAGAAUUAUACUUCAAUCAAAUAUUCAUUAGUCUGGUUUAUGGGCUGCUAAAGACCUGGGCCCACCGGAUCCUGCCAACCACAUGCUCUCCUGGCUGGGCCAAUGCCAAUCUUCCACUCUUUGCCCCCCGCCCGCUGGGUGGCUGGAGGCCACCUCGAUUCAGGGAAAGGCCCUGAGCUCUUCCUUAGGUCUGUUCCUUCACCAGGUCAAACCAGUGCCUAUGACUGGAAGCCACAGCAGUGGGAGAAAAUUGCUACUCUUUCCCCCAAGCCAGGAAGCCUGUAGCAGAUAAUAUUGAUGCGACACCCAGAGGUGCUGACUGUCACACCUGCCCCCUUCUCUAAAGGCUUGUCCUGGGCUUGAGGGAGCUGCCUCACUCAGAGAUGGCUGGGAGCU
ensembl:lncRNA